rnacentral:rRNA from 1 species
GUUUGAUUAUGGCUCAGGAUGAACGUUGGCGGCGUGCCUAACACAUGCAAGUCGAACGGGAACCCGUGAAUAGCUUCGGACCAGAUGCCGAGAGUGGCGAACGGGUGAGUAACAAGUAACUGAUCUGCCCUGUAGAGCGGGAUAACUCCUGGAAACAGCAGCUAAAACCGACUAAGCUCACGGUGAUUAGAAGCGCUGUGAGAAAAGACCGAGGUGCUACAGGAUGAGGUUGCAUCCCAUCAGCUAGUUGGUGAGGUAAGGGCUUACCAAGGCAAUGACGGGUAGGGGAUCUGAGAGGGUGUUCCCCCACACUGGGACUGAGACACGGCCCAGACUCCUACGGGAGGCAGCAGUGAGGAAUAUUGCACAAUGGACGCAAGUCUGAUCGCAGCGACGCCGCGUGGGCGAAGAAGGUUUUCGGAUCGUAAAGCCCUUUUCUUUGUGACGAGAAAGGACGGUAGCAUAGGAAGAAGUGUCGGCUAACUACGUGCCAGCAGCCGCGGUAAAACGUAGGACGCGAACGUUAUCCCGGAGUUACUGGGCGUAAAGCGCGCGCAGGCGGUUGGGUAAGUUACCUAUGAAAGUUCCCGGCUAAACUGGGAGAUGCUAGGUGAUACUGCUCAACUAGAGAGAGACAGAGGGAAGUAGAAUUCCGGGUGUAGUGGUGAAAUGCGUAGAUAUGCGGAGGAAUACCAGUGGCGAAGGCGGCUUCCUGGGUCUCCACUGACGCUGAGGCGCGAAAGCGUGGGUAGCGAACGGGAUUAGAAACCCCGGUAGUCCACGCCGUAAACGAUGUACACUAGGCGUUCGCAGUGCGUUAGUACUGUGAGUGUCGAAGCACAACGCGAUAAAUGUACCGCCUGGGGAGUACGGUCGCAAGGCUAAAACUCAAAGGAAUUUGACGGGGGCCCGCACAAGCAGCGGAGCGUGUGGUUUAAUUCGAGGUUACGCGAAGAACCUUACCUGGGUUUGACAUCAUGGUAGAGGAAGCGAAAGCGGAAGGACCCUUCGGGGAGCCAUAGACAGGUGCUGCAUGGUUGUCGUCAGCUCGUGCCGUGAGGUGUUCGGUUAAGUCCGCAAACGAGCGCAACCCUCGGUGCUAGUUACAAGUGUCUGGCGCGACUGCCCGUGACAAACGGGAGGAAGGUGGGGAUGACGUCAAAUCAGCAUGGCCUUUAUAUCCAGGGCGACACACACGCUACAAUGGUCGUUACAAUGGGUAGCGAAGCCGCGAGGUGAAGCCAAUCCUCAAAGACGGUCUCAGUUCGGAUUGCAGGCUGCAACUCGCCUGCAUGAAGUCGGAGUUGCUAGUAACCGCGAAUCAGCACGUUGCGGUGAAUACGUUCCCGGGCCUUGUACACACCGCCCGUCACGUCAUGGGAGCGGGUCACGCCUGAAGUCGGGAACGUAACCGCAAGGAGCCUAUCGCUGAGGGCAGGAUUGGUGACUGGGACGAAGUCGUAACAAGGUAGCCGU